rnacentral:rRNA from 1 species
GAUGAACGCUAGCGGCAGGCCUAAUACAUGCAAGUCGAACGGUAACAGGGUAGCAAUACUGCUGACGAGUGGCGCACGGGUGAGUAACGCGUAUGCAACCUACCUUUAACUGGAGGAUAACCCCUCGAAAGAGGGACUAAUAUUCCAUAGUAAUCAGAGAAGGCAUCUUUUUUGGUUUAAAGCUCCGGCGGUUAAAGAUGGGCAUGCGUGACAUUAGUUAGUUGGUGAGGUAACGGCUCACCAAGACGAUGAUGUCUAGGGGUUCUGAGAGGAUGAUCCCCCACACUGGUACUGAGACACGGACCAGACUCCUACGGGAGGCAGCAGUAAGGAAUAUUGGGCAAUGGAGGCAACUCUGACUUAGCCAUGCCGCGUGAAGGAUGACGGCCCUAUGGGUUGUAAACUUCUUUUAUACGGGAAUAAACCCGGGUACGUGUACCCGGCUGAAUGUACCGUAAGAAUAAGGAUCGGCUAACUCCGUGCCAGCAGCCGCGGUAAUACGGAGGAUCCAAGCGUUAUCCGGAUUCAUUGGGUUUAAAGGGUGCGUAGGCGGAUUUGUNAAGUCAGCGGUGAAANCCUACAGCUUAACUGUAGAACUGCCGUUGAUACUGCAAGUCUUGAGUACAUUUGAUGUGGGCGGAAUGUGUCAUGUAGCGGUGAAAUGCUUAGAUAUGACACGGAACACCGAUUGCGAAGGCAGCUCACAAAACUGUAACUGACGCUGAGGCACGACAGCGUGGGGAUCAAACAGGAUUAGAUACCCUGGUAGUCCACGCCGUAAACUAUGAUCACUCGAUGUUGGCGAUAUACAGCCAGCGUCUAAGCUAAAGCAUUAAGUGAUCCACCUGGGGAGUACGGUCGCAAGAUUGAAACUCAAAGGAAUUGACNGGGGGCCCGCACAAGCGGNAGGAGCAUGUGGNUUUAANUUCGAUGAUACGCGAGGNAACCNUUACCAGGGCUUGAAAGUUAGUGACCSSCGCCGAAAGGUGGCUUUCAGCAAUGACACGAAACUAGGUGCUGCAUGGCUGUCGUCAGCUCGUGCCGUGAGGUGUUGGGUUAAGUCCCGCAACGAGCGCAACCCCUAUCUUUAGUUGCCAGCGAGUAAUGUCGGGGACUCUAAAGAAACUGCCCGCGUAAGCGUGGAGGAAGGAGGGGAUGACGUCAAGUCAGCACGGCCCUUACGUCCUGGGCUACACACGUGCUACAAUGGGCGAGACAAUGGGUUGCUACACAGUAAUGUGAUGCUAAUCUCAAAACUCGUUCUCAGUUCGGAUUGAGGUCUGCAACUCGACCUCAUGAAGCUGGAUUCGCUAGUAAUCGGAUAUCAGCAAUGAUCCGGUGAAUACGUUCCCGGGCCUUGUACACACCGCCCGUCAAACAAUGGAAGCCGAGGGUACCUGAAGUCGAUAACCGCAAGGAGUCGCCUAGGGUAAAAUUGGUAACUGGUGUU